rnacentral:rRNA from 1 species
AUGAACGCUGGCGGCGUGCCUAAUACAUGCAAGUCGAGCGAACAGACGAGGAGCUUGCUCCUCUGACGUUAGCGGCGGACGGGUGAGUAACACGUGGAUAACCUACCUAUAAGACUGGGAUAACUUCGGGAAACCGGAGCUAAUACCGAAUAAUAUAUUGAACCGCAUGGUUCAAUAGUGAAAGACGGUUUUGCUGUCACUUAUAGAUGGAUCCGCGCCGCAUUAGCUAGUUGGUAAGGUAACGGCUUACCAAGGCGACGAUGCGUAGCCGACCUGAGAGGGUGAUCGGCCACACUGGAACUGAGACACGGUCCAGACUCCUACGGGAGGCAGCAGUAGGGAAUCUUCCGCAAUGGGCGAAAGCCUGACGGAACAACGCCGCGUGAGUGAUGAAGGUCUUCGGAUCGUAAAACUCUGUUAUUAGGGAAGAACAAAUGUGUAAGUAACUAUGCACGUCUUGACGGUACCUAAUCAGAAAGCCACGGCUAACUACGUG